rnacentral:rRNA from 1 species
UACAUGGGGUGCAAACGUUGCUCGGAAUUAUUGGGCGUAAAGCGCGCGUAGGCGGUUACUUAAGUCGGAUGUGAAAGCCCUCGGCUUAACUGAGGAAGUGCACCCGAAACUGAGUAGCUAGGGUACGAAAGAGGGUCGCGGAAUUCCCGGUGUAGAGGUGAAAUUCGUAGAUAUCGGGAGGAACACCGGUGGCGAAGGCGGCGACCUGGGUCGAGACUGACGCUGAGGCGCGAAAGCGUGGGGAGCAAACAGG